AUUGAACGCUGGCGGCAGGCUUAACACAUGCAAGUCGAGCGGAGAGAGGUAGCUUGCUACUGAUCUUAGCGGCGGACGGGUGAGUAAUGCUUAGGAAUCUGCCUAUUAGUGGGGGACAACAUUUCGAAAGGAAUGCUAAUACCGCAUACGUCCUACGGGAGAAAGCAGGGGAUCUUCGGACCUUGCGCUAAUAGAUGAGCCUAAGUCGGAUUAGCUAGUUGGUGGGGUAAAGGCCUACCAAGGCGACGAUCUGUAGCGGGUCUGAGAGGAUGAUCCGCCACACUGGGACUGAGACACGGCCCAGACUCCUACGGGAGGCAGCAGUGGGGAAUAUUGGACGAUGGGCGCAAGCCUGAUCCAGCCAUGCCGCGUGUGUGAAGAAGGCCUUAUGGUUGUAAAGCACUUUAAGCGAGGAGGAGGCUACUUUAGUUAGUACCUAGAGAUAGUGGACGUUACUCGCAGAAUAAGCACCGGCUAACUCUGUGCCAGCCGCCGCCGUAA
rnacentral:rRNA from 1 species